UACGUAGGCAGCGAGCGUUGUUCGGAGUUACUGGGCGUAAAGAGUGCGUAGGCGGUUUUCUAAGUUUGGUGUGAAAUCUCCCGGCUCAACCGGGAGGGUGCGCCGAAAACUGGGGAACUGGAGUGCAGGAGAGGUAAGCGGAAUUCCUGGUGUAGCGGUGAAAUGCGUAGAUAUCAGGAGGAACACCUGUGGUGUAGACGGCUUACUGGACUGCAACUGACGCUGAGGCACGAAAGCAUGGGGAGCGAACAGGG
rnacentral:rRNA from 1 species